rnacentral:rRNA from 1 species
UACGUAGGGGGCGAGCGUUGUCCGGAUUUAUUGGGCGUAAAGAGCGUGUAGGCGGUUCGGUAAGUCUGUCGUGAAAUCCUGAGGCUCAACCUCGGGCGUGCGAUGGAUACUGCCGGGCUAGAGGAUGGUAGAGGCGAGUGGAAUUCCCGGUGUAGCGGUGAAAUGCGUAGAUAUCAGGAGGAACACCGAUGGCGAAGGCAGGUCUCUGGGCCACUACUGACGCUGAGAAGCGAAAGCAUGGGGAGCGAACAGG